CUGCAUACACCAAUCAGCCUCAACAUUAGAACCACUGACAGAUUCCAAUCCAAUCAACCCACAAGACUCAAAGGAUCUGACACCAACAUCCCCGUGAGUCGUGCCACAGGACAUCCUCAGAGACCCAAGAUCUCCCAGGCCUGCUCGCCAGCCAGCCAACCAGCCAGCCAACCGUCAUCAAUUCACCCCUAAUCUCUCCC